rnacentral:rRNA from 1 species
UAGGGAAUCUUCGGCAAUGGACGAAAGUCUGACCGAGCAACGCCGCGUGUGUGAAGAAGGUUUUCGGAUCGUAAAACUCUGUUGUUAGAGAAGAACAAGGACGUUAGUAACUGAACGUCCCCUGACGGUAUCUAACCAGAAAGCCACGGCUAACUACGUGCCAGCAGCCGCGGUAAUACGUAGGUGGCAAGCGUUGUCCGGAUUUAUUGGGCGUAAAGCGAGCGCAGGCGGUUUCUUAAGUCUGAUGUGAAAGCCCCCGGCUCAACCGGGGAGGGUCAUUGGAAACGGGGAGACUUGAGUGCAGAAGAGGAGAGUGGAAUUCCAUGUGUAGCGGUGAAAUGCGUAGAUAUAUGGAGGAACACCAGUGGCGAAGGCGGCUCUCUGGUCUGUAACUGACGCUGAGGCUCGAAAGCGUGGGGAGCAAACAGG